rnacentral:lncRNA from 1 species
UCUGAUUGUUUGAUCUGCUGCUUGUGACACACUGAGGACAUUGUGUCAUUUAAGUGUGGUCUAUUAGGGGAGGUUGUUUCUUUGUUUAUGUUUCGGUUUUUAGGUAGUUUGUUAUGUCUGGUGUACAGUUUUGCAUGCUUUUCGUGAAUUCUGGACUGUGAUUAGGUUGCUAGUUUCCCUUCACUGUAUUGAUACUCUGUUUUGUUGGACUCCUUGCUCUUCUUUGGUUGGAAGAUAAUCAUGAUGUUUGAGAGUUGAAUUGAUUGUGAUUGAUUACCUGUGUGAGAUUUGAGCCAUUUGGUGAUCUUUCUUGUGUGUGAUAUGUCUCUAGACUGCUUGCGCAUUUGCCUUGGCUUGACUCUGUUGAUAAUUCUUGAUUCAUGCGCAUGUUUGAAAAUGAUAAAGGCAUUUUGUUGAUUGAGCCUCUCUAGCCAAAUAGCCUACCCUAUUAUGAUCUCUUUGUUAGCCCCUUUGAGCCUAUACUUCCCUCAUUUAUUUGUUUUGAAGCUCAUACAAU